ensembl:lncRNA
UGGGCCCUCUCUGCUGUGACAUUCCAUACUUUCCCUUGUGUGUGUACAGGUUGUCUGUACAACCUACACAGCACUCAUCCAGGGUGCUUACCAGCUCGUGCAGGCAGUAUUUUCUAUGCCUGCUGCUAUGCAGGACACUUUGAACCAGCUCAAUAAAAACACAUUUAUGCCGAUGCUGGCUGCUUUUGUCAGAGCAGAAACAGUCCGGCCCCAUCUCACAGCCCUCCUGCUGCUUUGCUUGUGCUAGAGUUGGUUCGAGUGCCUUUGCUGUGCCCUGCCAGCAAGCACACACUGCUGCUGCUCUCGCGCUCUCCUGCUUUCCUUCCCCCACCCAUCUUAGGAAAUAAUUAGCAAAGAAGAAAUAAUAAAGCAAUAGAGUGCACUGCUGAGGCUUCCGACAGCUGCUGGCAGCCGUGCUAGCAUGCUCCUGGAGCUGCCGCUUCCCAAGAGAGCCACGUCAGCCUCCUUUCCCGGGUGCCCCCACCCUCCCCGCACCGGGGCAGAGGGCAGAUAGAGAGGAAGGCGUCCAGGUGGCACCAGCCUCCUGCAGCACGUGGGCAUUGCAGGAAAAGGGAAUGCCGCCUUUCCCUCAGGGCAGGACAGGCAGUGUCCCACUGUGCAAAGCUCUGCCACAGUGAAUAUGUGGGCUAUGGGUUCAGGAUGUAAACGGGUGCACUGUUAGAGCAGCAUACAUCUGUGGUGUUGCUUGUCUCAGCCAAAAGUAUCAGAGAUUACUAAAGUAGCAGCAGCAAACUCUGUCACAACCCAAUGAGCGCUGAUGAGUGCAUCUGAAGUUCAGAGAGUGAGAAGUAUGCAGGAUGCAGAGCUCCCUGGAACCAAGACAGGCACCAAGGGGACAUCUUGCCACUUCCCACUUCUCGGAUGAGAUGGUCAAAGGAGGAAAGCACAGCUGCUUUGCCACCUCCUCUCCAGCCUCAGCUGCUCUACUGAGAGCCACUGCAAUGGCAUCGCGCUGUUAUUCGGAGCCAUAUCCUCAGAGAUGCUCUGCAGGCAGAUCUGGAAGUCUGAAAACAGGAUUCCUUCUGAGAUUUUCAUACUUCCUGAUGCCUACUUGGUGAUUACUAAGGACCGCUUUCCAAGAAGAUGCUUCUGGCAUGGGAACUCCGGUGCUGAUGCCACACCAAGCAGCUGAAGCCCACCUCUCAGGCUAAACAAGGGGAGCUAGUUUGAGCUGUGCUCCAGCAGAAAAAACAACUCUUGUCAACGUUGUGGGGUGUGGGAAGCAGCUCCACCUGAGUUCAGAGCAGCAGAAAUAUUUGCUGUCCAUUGUUAACUAAAUCUAGUUACACUCCGGCAUAGCAUUGCCCUGGAGUAAAACCAGUACGAUAGGGACCAGUCUCAAGCAGGGAUUUGGGAGCUGGGGCUGACAGUAGGAUGGCCACCUCACCUCUCACAGGCAGCCAGGAGCUCCCAUCCCUGGGGAGGCAGCUUUGGGGGAAGGCGGCCUGAGAGAUCCCAAG